AGACAGCCUUGCCCAGCCUGUCCCGUGGAGGCCUUAGGACCCUCAGAGAUACCGAAGAGUCGGAGCAUAAGACUAAAAGAAAGUAAAUCAAUAGAAAUUACAGCGCUGGGCCCCCAAGUGGAGAGGAGCUACACGAGAGUCAAGGGAUCAUCUCUACCUGUGACACAGGGACCCCGGCCACACCAAAUGGAGGUGUAUCAAGAGGCCCGCGGUCAGGAACUCAAAUGAGAGCGUUGGCACACUUCAACACCCAGCCAGAAGAAAAGUACGGCACGUUCACAACCAAGGAGGAAGGAAUAAACAGAUCGGCAGGGUUUUUGACAUGACCCCUUCCAUCCAUGGCUCUAAAACAUCCAUUGUUCAUAAAAUGCAUAAAGGGCCGCAUAUGUACAUCCCAACUCCCCUUUCCAUUCAAUAUAUAUGAAAAUGCAAUUUACUGUAUGUCAAAUGAAAAAUGCAGUUUUCAAAGGCAGUGACAACAGGUGCUAGUUAAAUGAUCAAGCACGAUUUGCUACCGAGUCCCCUACUCUCAUUUGCAGUGAGAUAAAUUGCAUUUUAGGAGAGUGG